CGGAGCGUAGCGCAGUCUGGUAGCGCACCUGGAUGGGGUCCAGGGGGUCGGAGGUUCGAAUCCUCUCGCUCCGACCA
rnacentral:tRNA from 3 species